rnacentral:lncRNA from 1 species
UGUGCUUUAAUUGCAAUGGAGAAGGUCACAUUAGUUCUCAGUGUACUCAGCCUAAGAGGGCGCCGACUACUGGUAGGGUCUUUGCUUUGACUGGGACUCAGACAGAGAAUGAGGAUCGUUUGAUCAGAGAGAUGGUGAUCGUGCUUAGUGUGUAGUUGCCGUCGUGAGUGGCCUUGCCUUCACUGUGUCGUCUAGGUCGCUCUGAUACGUAACGGGAUGGGGUUAUAUGCUAUAACAUGCUUCAUUCUCUUACGUGGAUAAUAUGUUAUUUUUAUUAUGUUAUGG